AUGCAAGUCGAGGGGCAGCACAGUGUAGCAAUACAUAGGUGGCGACCGGCGCACGGGUGAGUAACGCGUAUGCAACCUGCCUACAACAGGGGGAUAACCCGGAGAAAUCCGGACUAAUACCGCAUAAAACAGGGGUCCCGCAUGGGAGUAUUUGUUAAAGAUUUAUCGGUUGUAGAUGGGCAUGCGUUCCAUUAGUUAGUUGGUGAGGUAACGGCUCACCAAGACGUCGAUGGAUAGGGGAACUGAGAGGUUUGUCCCCCACACUGGAACUGAGACACGGACCAGACUCCUACGGGAGGCAGCAGUGAGGAAUAUUGGUCAAUGGGCGAGAGCCUGAACCAGCCAAGUCGCGUGAAGGAAGACUGCCUUAUGGGUUGUAAACUUCUUUUAUACAGGAAUAAAAAGGCUUACGUGUAGGCCAUUGCAAGUACUGUAUGAAUAAGCAUCGGCUAACUCCGUGCCAGCAGCCGCGGUAAUACGGAGGAUGCGAGCGUUAUCCGGAUUUAUUGGGUUUAAAGGGUGCGCAGGCGGGCUUUUAAGUCAGCGGUGAAAUCUGGACGCUUAACGUCCAAACUGCCGUUGAAACUGGGAGUCUUGAGUAUGGAUGAAGUAGGCGGAAUUCGUUGUGUAGCGGUGACAUGCAUAGAUAUAACGAGGAACUCCGAUUGCGUAGGCAGCUUACUAAGCCAUAACUGACGCUCAUGCACGAAAGCGUGG
rnacentral:rRNA from 1 species